UACGGAGGGUGCUAUCGUUAUUCGGAUUUACUUGGCGUAAAGCGCACGCAGGCGGUCUGUCAAGUCGGAUGUGAAAUCCCCGGGCUCAACCUGGGAACUGCAUCCGAAACUGGCAGGCUAGAGUCUUGUAGAGGGGGGUAGAAUUCCAGGUGUAGCGGUGAAAUGCGUAGAGAUCUGGAGGAAUACCGGUGGCGAAGGCGGCCCCCUGGACAAAGACUGACGCUCAGGUGCGAAAGCGUGGGGAGCAAACAGGAUUAGAUACCCUGGUAGUCCACGCCGUAAACGAUGUCGACUUGGAGGUUGUGCCCUUGAGGCGUGGCUUCCGGAGCUAACGCGUUAAGUCGACCGCCUGGGGAGUACGGCCGCAAGGUUAAA
rnacentral:rRNA from 1 species